rnacentral:rRNA from 1 species
CCUACGGGUGGCUGCAGUGAGGAAUAUUGGUCAAUGGGCGCGAGCCUGAACCAGCCAAGUCGCGUGAGGGAGGACGGCCCUACGGGUUGUAAACCUCUUUUGCCGGGGAGCAACGGGCGUCACGUGUGGCGCCACUUAGAGUACCCGGAGAAAAAGCAUCGGCUAACUCCGUGCCAGCAGCCGCGGUAAUACGGAGGAUGCGAGCGUUAUCCGGAUUUAUUGGGUUUAAGGGGUGCGUAGGCGGAUCUUUAAGUCAGUGGUAAAAUUGAGGGGCUCAACCCCUUCCCGCCAUUGAAACUGGCGCUCUUGAGUGGAAGAGAAGUAUGCGGAAUGCGUGGUGUAGCGGUGAAAUACAUAGAUAUCACGCAGAACCCCGAUUGCGAAGGCAGCAUGCCGGCUUCCGACUGACGCUGAAGCACGAAAGCGUGGGGAUCGAACAGGAUUAGAUACCCCGGUAGUC